UCCUUGCGCUUGUGAGGCAGGCGGCGGAACCACUGAGCUAAAUCCCCGGCCCUUUAUUUUGUUACUUGUGAUUUUCAGGUCAUGUCAAAGAAAUCUUUGCCAAAUCAAAUGUCAUAAAAUUUUUCACCUAUGUCUUCUUCCUAGACUUUAAUAGUUUGAGUUCUGGUGUUUAAGUCUUUAAUCCAAGAGAGAGAGAGAGAGACAGAUCUAAUUUAAAUUUUGUAUGUGGAUAUCCAUUUUUCCUAUUUGUUGAAAAGACUGUCCUUUCUCUAUUGGACAUUCUUUGCACUAAAUCAAUCGUAUACAUAAAGAUUUACUUCUGGGCUAUUUUAUUCAUCUUUACGUCUGUCCAUAUGCCUGUGAAACAGCUGUCAUUUUACAAACCCAGUCCAUUUAUUGUCUCAUGAAAUUGGGGAAUGAAAUCAUGGACACAAAAGAGGUUAAAAGGGAAGUAUUUAUUGGAAAACAUAAGAAGAAAAAUAUCUCCUUUUAUGUAUCCAGGAGGGGUCUCUGAAAGUGGCAUUCUGGGGUGUUUGUUUGAGUCUUAUAUAGAUAAGCAGAAAGAAGGAACUUAUUUAGUUAUCUAGUGAUCACCUAUCAUAACUGUCUCAGGAAUUUAGAAUAAUUGAUUGGGGUGUAGGCUUUGUAGUGCUUUGUAAUGUAGAGUUUAAAGAAAAUCAGUUACUCAGCUGCCCAAGUUCAAAGGAAAUAAAUCUCUUUUUUUUUGUACUGGGGAUCGAACUCAGGUCCUUGUGCUUGCACAGCAGGCGGCGAAACCACUGAGCUAAAUCCCUGCCCCUGGAAAUAAAAUUUAAAGGAAAUUGAUUACUCUGCAUUUUUAAAUUCCUCCAAGUGCAACCCAGAGGAGGAGAGGAGUAGUUAAUUCACUUAGCAUAUUUUACCUAAGAAGUUUCUUUCCUGGAAGUUAGGGUUCUUAUCUGCUCAUUCUUAUCCCAACUCUUUAUCCCUUUUCCAGUGCUUGCUUUUACAUUUUGAAGCUUAACUAGCUGUAUAAUUUGAAUUAGCUCUUAUCCCAGUGUUGUAUGUGCUAUUUUCUUUGUAACCAGCCAACUCUAUCUUAUUGACUCUGCCUACUUAUGAGCUAACUAAUUAAACUGCCCUUUACACCAGUAUCAAAUUAUUUCGAUUACUAUAGCUUUGUAGUAAGUUAUGAAAUCAGGACUGUCUUUCAACAUUGUUUUUCUUUUUAAAAUAUAUUCUACAAUCAUGCACCUAGACUGCAUGCAUUUCUGAAAGAAUUUUCAGUAGUGGCAAGCCUGAAGCUCAAAAACUUUAAUACAGAAACUAAACUGUUUUCUUUCCUUGCUGUACUAAAAAGAUUAAAUGAAAAUACUUCCUUUUUCUAUCUACCCCAAUUCACUGCCUAGAGAAAUUAGGGAGGAGCUGAUUCUGGAGUAAAGAUUCCACUGGGAGAAAUAUGAGAAGAGGAAGACAGGUAGAAGUGAGGCAGUGUUCCUGGCCAGGGGAGAAGCUACCUAUAAAAAACAAGAUUGGGUGGUGAGUUAUUCCUGCAAAGAAGGAAGAGGUUUAUUGAAGAUGGCUCCCAGAGUCUGGGAGUUGACUCCAGGAAUGUUGCCAAGAAUAAAGUGGCCCACUUGCUCAGAUGUGGCCAACAGCUCACCAUGACAAGUGUUCAAUGGACUGACUGAAUUCGCUGCCCAUAUUCCUGCUUCUUUGGGUAAAUCCCUUGGAAUCCUGAGACUAUCUUUUUGAGUUGAGAGCACCAUACCUUUAGGGGCUCAGGAAGAAGGGCCGAGAGCUCCUCUGCAUAUUUGUGUAUUGGAGGGUGGAAGAAGAGAGAACUCGUGUGCCACAGGCGUCCAAGCUGUUUUUGUGCCACCGCGUUUACCUUCCUGGAUAAGUAGGAGAGCAGGGUCACCCACACUGUCCCCGGGCAUAUCCUUCCAACACACAUUCUAGCCACUAAACUCAGGCAUACGGUGAUUUCUCAAAGUCUCAAGCUGCAGGUUUCAUCUGCAGCAAAGAAAAAACUCCUCUGGCCACUAGGGGUGUCCAGCAAUGGUGUGUCUUGCCUCAAAAGGUAAUGAAUUUUUCAUUGCUCAAAGAAGGCUAAAGGAUUGUGUGCUUGGGAUUUUAGACAAGAAAUUUCUUGUUUAGGAGGGAGUUUGGGCUUAGAAUUUCUUCUACUUAAUUUUUUUUAAACAAUCAUUUGAGCAUUUUAGAAAUAAGUAUGACUUAGUGGUAAGCCUGAGUAUCUUCCCCUUUUAUUUUUCUGAAGAACUGUAGAGCCAUCAAAUACAUGUGCACAUGACCAAGAGCUUUUCCUCCAAAGGAUCCCAUUACCUGGUUCUGAGCAGUGGUCAGUGUUGAAGAAUGUCUUGUAAUGAUGAAACCACACUGUUUGAAGGACUGAGCCAACUCUACAGAAAGUUCAUACUGAGGGAAAGCAGGAACUAAAUGUAGAUAAAUAUGUGGGCCCCUCUAGGAAGACCAGGAAAGGGAGGGUAAGGUGUUUCACCUUCAUCUAAAAAAUAGCAAUUGCUAAAGUUCGUUUUACCCUAAUUCUGUGUUUUAAUAAUAUCUGCUACUCCAAAUCAAUCAGUUUGGGGCUGGGGAUUUAGCUCAGUGGUUCCGCUGCCUGCCUCAAAAGUGCAAGCACCCGAGUUCGAUCCCCGGUACCAAAAAAAACAAAAACAAAAACAAAUAAAUCAGUUCAGUGCUUGAAUAAUUUUGAAUAAUUAAUCUGGUAGUCAAGAUCAAACAGAUGACUUUACUUGGGACUUGUUAAUACUUUUAAUAGGUUAAUGUACACCAUUUCUCUCCAGAAAGAAGAUAGAGUUUAAAAUAUUUCCUAAACUUAUUUUCUCAAGCGAUUCUUCUUCAUGGAACUGUCCUUGUGAUCAGUGUUCCAGGAAUCUCACUGUAGAAAUUUCGGAGAGUCAGUGCACUCUUAAAAAGAAGAAAUACUUGACAAAAGUACUGUUUAGAAAAAAAAAAUUCUGAGAGCCAGUGAAACCUAAAAUGGAGCAGGGAUUACUGCUAAUAUGGAGGCCAGCUAGAUUGGUGUCUUAGUCACUUUCUUCAUCACCAAGACACAACACCCAACACCCACAAAUUGAAGGAGGAGGGGUUUAUUUUGGCUCAUAGUUUAGUGGAUGGUUGGCUAGCUCCAAGGGAGGAAUGGCAUGAUGAAAGGGCCCAGCUGAGGAAAACAUGCUCAAUUCAUGUCAGGCAGGAAGCAGAGAGAUUGCAGUAGUUGGAGAGUGAGAUGUACCUUUCAGGUUACCCCCUCAGUGACCCACCUCUCACCAGGCCCCACCUCCUAUCAGCACAUUUAGCUCUGAAUUCAUUUGUGGAUUAAUGCACUGAUAAUAAGUACAAUGCCCCAUAAUCCAAUCACUUCCCAAAUGAGUUAAAGAGGCUUUGAGGGGACAUUCCAGAUCAAAACCAUAACAGUGGGCACAGUGGCCUCACAAUGGGAAGAAGAUCUCCCAGAACACUAGAGUUGAUGGGAAUAAGGGGAGAAGAGCCAGUAGGAGAGGCAUUUCUGUGGAGGGAGAACUGUCCAUGACAUCGAGUUGGCUAUGGGGAAUGAAAUGUAGGGAAGCUUCAAAGAUGAAUUCAGUAGUCUUGCCUGGAUCACUGGGAAAACCCUAAGAAUGGUUGAGAAAUACUGCUGUUGUCUAGUUCCCAGUUGCUUCACAGAGCAGGUAGUUCACAUGUGACCCUUAAAUAAAUGAAUAUGUUAAUUAAAAAGCUUUGUGUGGAUUUAACCUUGAAAAUGUUAAAUUUGAGCUGAUGGUGGAAUAUGAAAAGUGAGAGAUAUCCUAUACGGUAGCAGAGAAUCUGGGGCAUCUUGAGGUCUGCUAUGACCUCAUUUGAUUCAUUAUUAUAGCUUGGUUAGGCACCAAGGCUGAAGAGUUGAGUGAGGAAGUUGAAAAUGCAAUAACUAAGUAGGCAGGGGUAGGAAUGAGGUGGGUCCAGUUCUGUGGUGGGGGGAACUAAGAGAUGAAAGAAGUAAAGAGGGAAGAGCAGAGAAUUAAGAACAGAACCAGGGACACCAAUUUUGGGUCAGAUGGAAAUCAAGAGAAACACAAAGGUCAUGAAAGCCAAGGACACAAAUGGUCAACUAUCAGAGACAAUGCCGACAUUAUUGGGAGGAUUGAACGAAAGUGUUUAAAAUUGUUCUCUAUUCCAUUUUCUCUACUUCUUUUAAGUAUGUUUAUGUUAUGUUUUAAAUUGUAUCUGAAAUUUAUUUUGGAUGCUUCUUGGGACCUUGUAUGGGACUGAUGCUUCCUGAAGACGGAAGGACAAAGAGAAGGAAAUGGAGAAGGUGAGCCCGAGUCUACAGGGACAACUCAUUCCUCAACUACUGACACCUGCUGAAAGAGAAGAUCUUUUGCCUCCUCCUUUGAUAUGAGAGCCUAAUCCUAUAAAAUUUAUUUUAGACUCA